AGUAGUACAACGGUAGUAUCCCUGCCUGUCACGCAGGAGAUUCGGGUUCAAUUCCCGGCUA
rnacentral:tRNA from 1 species